AGCACAGCCAGGAGGAGAAGCAGAGCCGGGAGACGCACACGCACACCUAGCCCAGCUGCAGAGGUCAGUCAACAGGUCAACAACAAAGAAUGUGAACUACGAAAUAACUGCUGCUUUUCUUCUGCCCUCCCAACCUCCCAACAAUCUCCUAUAGCCGCAUGAACUGAAACAUACAAGGAAAGGAAUUCUGGCAACACAGGUCAGGCUACCCAAGGAUACCUAACAAAGCCAUGACAUGUCAUACUGAGAAAGUAUUUGGCUUAAAAAAUCUGUGCAUUUAUGUCUCAUUAAACGAAGGGACUCAGCAGUCUGCAGGACACUGGGGAGUAAAAUAUAGUCCCAAGAAGACCCAAGAGCCGUUUCUAUCUACAGUUAAAA